AUGACAGCACUACUAGGACACCACGCUUUUGAAAAUUUGUCCCAAAGAGUAAAUAGAGCCCAUGACUGGCAGGAGGCUGAGCACCAAUUUGGAGAUAACUUUUCCUUUUAAACUCAAGAAAGUGCUAUAGGAGGCAUUCACUAUACACUUUAGAUUUUUCCAUACGGAUCACCAAUUCCUAAAAUCUAUUGGACAAUAGGCCAUUGUUUCCUUCUAUCUGAAACAUCAGCUCCGUUAUAUCAAGAUUCCAGCUGGUUCAGAACACAGGCCCCGGCAGAGAAGGGAAUUGUGUAUUUACCCCAACAACCCUCAACAAUGACAGCUCCUUCCGUCUUCUAACCUCUGGGCAGACACUGACUAAAGGAAGAAAGCACAGAGAGGAUCUCUUGACGGAAUGCAAAAGACUUCCCUAGAUGUCUGCUAUCAAAUGUCUUCCUUUUAAUCUUGGGAGUAGAAAGGGAACCUGGCUUCCUUUCUGGACUUAACCAUGAAACCAGCACCAUCACAUCACCCCUAAACAGAAACUAAGACCCUUCCACAUGCCCCUUGUCACCACAACCAUCCUCUACUGACCCAUUUUUACAGAUUAGACACCUCUUUGGACUUCACUUCCCUCACACAUGCAGUAGGGAUAAUAGAUAACAGAAUUAUCCACCUCAUAAGGUUACUAGGAGGAUUAAGUGAAACAACAGAUGGAAAGGUA